CCUCUAAUUACUUUAACUCGCUUACAUGCUUACAUUGACAACUUGUUUUAAAAUGUACCGUGUGUUAAACACAUUAAGACAUCUUGUUUACAAAGUGCUGCCUGAAUGAGUCGCAUACUACUACAUAACGAUAAAUAACCUUGAAUUCAGUUCCUGUUCUGUGCGUCACCAGUCAACUAUUUAUAAAAUCUAGUACAGUGCAUUAAACACUCCGUAGUAGUUAUGUAAAUGAGACAUGUAUUUAUGUUUAUGAAUAAGAACGGAUAUGUAUAACCUUACGGGUAGAAACCCAUUGGAUAUCAAAGGAGUUUAAUCAAUGCGGACAGCCGCUAGUGAAUUCACAUGACCUGCGACUCGCACAGAUCUGGAAGCUUGCAUGAAUAGUAAAUACCAGCUGUUAUGUUUUCCGAAUUCCCAUGAAAACGUAAUGAAAGGAAUAUAUGUGUUGAUGAUGGAUUUUUAGAACAUUUAAUGGAUGACACCACUACAGUUAAAAAUGUAAUAAGAGAAGUAAUCCUAUAUAUUCCUAUACAACUAAAACAAACUGAAAAUUAUAUAUAAAAACCUUCUAACAAAAUGAAGAGGAGAUAUUUACUUGGAAGGUGAGAAG
rnacentral:lncRNA from 1 species